CAUCCUUACUUUCGGCAAGAUAAUGGCAAACUUGAGCAAUAUGUUAAAAUGUAUUAGAGAAUCAUGAUUCAUGCAAACACUUGUACCAAAUUUUCAAGGAUUUCAUUCCAGCAAAUAAGUAACAAAGAGAUCUCUCUGCCAGUAAACCAUUUGUUUAUUACAUUUAUCUUCCUUUUCUUUCACAACCCAUGUUAUGAAAUAAAAUUCCGAGACGUUCUUAGAGACUGCACAGAAUCAACCCAAGCCAGCUUAACGUCUACCAAGAGCUUCAUGAAGCUGAGCAUAUCAGCAGAAUAAUAUCAGUUUUAGGUUGGCCGCAAUUUUUCUUUGCUGUACAAAGAAUAUUUGGAAUAUUCAUGGAGUAGUCGUAAAAAGUUGAAGACCGUCAUCUUGAACUAAAACCUAUAAAAGACGAUGAGGCUAAUAACAUGUUUAAACAAGGUCUAAACACUGAACACUGUAGGGUUGAAAAGAUCCUUGGAAAAUCUGAUCAAAUAUGAAGAAUACUCAGAAGCUACAACAGAUCCAAAAUGCAGUAACCUGCCUGUGGUCAGUAAGGUGAGCUAGAACCCUGAAAUAUCAAUUCUCUGGCCACUGUCAGUAGGUUUCUGAAUACAAUUUAAAAUUCUGGAUUAAAAAAAAAAUCUAUAAAUUCCUUUAUUGGUUGGUUUUCAGAUAUUUUCAGGACUGACUUCUGAUAGAAUUGAUUUCAUCUCAGGUAGGAAAAUUUCAGGUUAUAUGUGAGAUUUGGAGUGAAAUACUUCAGAUUCCAUUCCGUUAGAACAAUCUUCUUCUAAAGCUUUGAAGGAUGGCUUCUCUGUGGACCUUCAGGAAGUUGCUUAACUGAAGCUUUCCACAAAGUUUUUAAAUUUAUGAGAAUUAUUGCUUGGAUUGUAGUUGCCAGAGUAGUAAGGUGACCAACUUUUUUACAAUGAGAAAGAGGACACAAAUAAAUUGAAGAAAAAAAAUAUCGUAAAUAAAAGAAACAGUUUAGUCAUUGCAACAAUAGUACAGAAUACACUAUAAUAUGAUAAAUGCAUAAUAAAAAUAUUUGUAACAAUAACAUUUUA